GAGUUUGAUCUUGGCUCAGAUUGAACGCUGGCGGCAUGCCUUACACAUGCAAGUCGAACGGCAGCACGGGAGCUUGCUCCUGGUGGCGAGUGGCGAACGGGUGAGUAAUGCAUCGGAACGUAUCCUGGAGUGGGGGAUAACGUAGCGAAAGUUACGCUAAUACCGCAUAUUCUGUGAGCAGGAAAGCGGGGGACCUUCGGGCCUCGCGCUCUUGGAGCGGCCGAUGUCGGAUUAGCUAGUUGGUGAGGUAAAGGCUCACCAAGGCGACGAUCCGUAGCAGGUCUGAGAGGAUGAUCUGCCACACUGGAACUGAGACACGGUCCAGACUCCUACGGGAGGCAGCAGUGGGGAAUUUUGGACAA
rnacentral:rRNA from 1 species